rnacentral:rRNA from 1 species
AGCGAACGCUGGCGGCAGGCUUAACACAUGCAAGUCGAGCGGGCAUCCUUGUGGUGUCAGCGGCAGACGGGUGAGUAACGCGUGGGAACGUGCCCUUCGGUUCGGAAUAACUCAGGGAAACUUGAGCUAAUACCGGAUACGUGCGAGAGCAGAAAGGUUUAUCUGCCGAAGGAUCGGCCCGCGUCUGAUUAGCUAGUUGGUGAGGUUACGGCUCACCAAGGCGACGAUCAGUAGCUGGUCUGAGAGGAUGAUCAGCCACACUGGGACUGAGACACGGCCCAGACUCCUACGGGAGGCAGCAGUGGGGAAUAUUGGACAAUGGGGGCAACCCUGAGCCAGCCAUGCCGCGUGAGUGAUGACGGCCUUAGGGUUGAAAAGCUCUUUUCUCCGGGACGAUAAUGACGGUACCGGAGGAAUAAGCCCCGGCUAACUUCG